UACGUAGGGUGCGAGCGUUAAUCGGAAUUACUGGACGUAAAGGGCUCGUAGGCGGCCAACUAAGUCGGAUGUGAAAUCCCCAGGCUUAACCUGGGAACUGCAUCCGAUACUGGAUGGCUUGAAUCCGGGAGAGGGAUGCAGAAUUCCAGGUGUAGCGGUGAAAUGCGUAGAUAUCUGGAGGAAUACCGGUGGCGAAGGCGGCAUCCUGGACCGGCAUUGACGCUGAGUGAGCGAAAGCCAGGGGAGCAAACGGG
rnacentral:rRNA from 1 species